CCCAAGGGCAUCUGGACACAGCCAUUCCUGGUGGGUUUGCUGCUGCCUCAACACCCAGAACUUCUCCAGGCAGGCUUUCAGAAAUUCCACACAUUGAUUUCUGCUCCCAUUUCUGGGCACCAAGACACGUCCCUGCCCUCUGGCUGCUCCCUGGCCCUGUGAAGACCCAGGAGAGGCAGCAGCCAUGAAGAUCCUGUUCCUGCUCUUCCCCCUGAUCCUCCUGUUGGCCCAGGGUGCUGCAGGAAGUUCAUCUGCAUGCAGGCGCAGAGGGGGAUUCUGCACCUUUGGGGGUUGCCGCUACCCCACAACACCCGUUGGAAGAUGUUCAGCAGUCAGUGUGUGCUGCAAAAGUUUGUGGGGUUGAAACCCUGAAAUUCCUGAGAAGAACAUCCCAUUCACUUCUGGCUCCUGAAAAUCCCCUCCUGAUGUCCCCUCCCGUCCCUGCCUAUGCCAUGCCCAGCUGGGGUGACAGCAGCAGUGGCAGCUGCUCCUGCUGGGUGCUGCUGGGCUGGAGCCCUGUGGUGCCAGCCCCGCUGUCUUUGGGGCAGGGGCUGCUUUUCCCGGCUUGAAUAAAGACGAGCACUUUGGCAUUGCA